rnacentral:rRNA from 1 species
AUUGAACGCUGGCGGCAUGCCUUACACAUGCAAGUCGAACGGCAGCAUGGGUGCUUGCACCUGAUGGCGAGUGGCGAACGGGUGAGUAAUGCAUCGGAACGUACCUUUCAGUGGGGGAUAACGUAGCGAAAGUUACGCUAAUACCGCAUAUUCUGUGAGCAGGAAAGCAGGGGAUCCUCGGACCUUGCGCUGAUGGAGCGGCCGAUGUCAGAUUAGCUAGUUGGUGGGGUAAAGGCCUACCAAGGCGACGAUCUGUAGCGGGUCUGAGAGGAUGAUCCGGCACACUGGGACUGAGACACGGCCCAGACUCCUACGGGAGGCAGCAGUGGGGAAUUUUGGACAAUGGGGGCAACCCUGAUCCAGCCAUGCCGCGUGAGUGAAGAAGGCCUUCGGGUUGUAAAGCUCUUUCGGACGGGAAGAAAUCGUGGUGGCUAAUACCUGCCAUGGAUGACGGUACCGUAAUAAGAAGCACCGGCUAACUACGUGCCAGCCGCCGCAGUAA